rnacentral:rRNA from 1 species
CAAGUCGAACGAACCUUCGGGUUAGUGGCGGACGGGUGAGUAACGCGUGACAUUCUGCCCUCAGGAGGGGGAUAACGGUUGGAAACGACCGCUAAUACCCCAUAUGCCUACUGGUGAAAUGAAUUUCGCCUGAGGAUGAGCUCGCGUCUGAUUAGCUAGUUGGUGCGGUAAUGGCGCACCAAGGCUUCGAUCAGUAGCUGGUCUGAGAGGAUGAUCAGCCACACUGGGACUGAGACACGGCCCAGACUCCUACGGGAGGCAGCAGUGGGGAAUUUUCCGCAAUGGGCGAAAGCCUGACGGAGCAACGCCGCGUGAGGGACGAAGGCCUCUGGGCUGUAAACCUCUUUUCUCAAGGAAGAAGAUAUGACGGUACUUGAGGAAUAAGCCACGGCUAAUUCCGUGCCAGCAGCCGCGGUAAUACGGGAGUGGCAAGCGUUAUCCGGAAUUAUUGGGCGUAAAGCGUCCGCAGGCGGCUUUUCAAGUCUGCUGUUAAAGCGUGGAGCUUAACUCCAUCAUGGCAGUGGAAACUGAAAGGCUUGAGUAUGGUAGGGGCAGAGGGAAUUCCCGGUGUAGCGGUGAAAUGCGUAGAUAUCGGGAAGAACACCAGUGGCGAAGGCGCUCUGCUGGGCCAUUACUGACGCUCAUGGACGAAAGCCAGGGGAGCGAAAGGGAUUAGAUACCCCUGUAGUCCUGGCCGUAAACGAUGAACACUAGGUGUCGGGGGAAUCGACCCCUUCGGUGUCGUAGCUAACGCGUUAAGUGUUCCGCCUGGGGAGUACGCACGCAAGUG